UGCCUGAAAGUUGCUUUAUUUGUUCAUAAGGUCUGUGCGUUACAGCAAGCUUAUGUUUAGCUACCGUGGACAAAAGCUCAGUCUGGAAGAGCAUUAAAUGUUAACCACAGAGAUGUACAGUGAGUAGAGAGCCCACAUUUGUGCACAACACGCUGUUUUUCUAUUGCUGCAAUCUAACAUUUGAAUUACAGAUCUUUAAGAUCUUUCUGGAUGCUCCACAAUGUGUCUGCACUCUUCUUCAGCUGAGCCACUUCAUCAUCCUUCAGCUUUUGGUUGAUGACACUUGUCAAUCCAGAGGCACUCAGGACACAAGGCAGGCUCAGGAAGACAUCGUUCUCAAUGCCAUAUGUGCCCUUUACCAGUGUUGACACAGAAUGAACUCGGUACAAGUUCUUCAGCAUUGUCUCACAGAGCUCAGCAACGCUAAGACCAAUGGCCCAGUUCGUAUACCCCUUGAGUCUGAUUACCUCAUAGGCACUUUCAACAACCUGCUUGUGGACUUCCUUCCAGUUCUCGCUGUCUUUGUCAGUUCCCAUGGCAGGAUUCAGCUCCUGGAGAGAAACACCUGCCACAUUAACUCCGCUCCAAACAGCCACACUAGAAUCACCAUGUUCUCCUAAAAUCCAGCCAUGGCAGCUGGUUGGGUGGAUACCAAGUCUCUCAGCCAUCAGGUAGCGGAAUCUAGCUGUGUCUAGAUUGCAGCCACUUCCAAUCACACGGUGCUUUGGCAGGCCACUCAGCUUCCAUGUGACAUAGGUUAAUAUAUCCACUGGGUUGGAAACCACAAGGAUAGUGCAAUUGGGGCUGUAUUUCACAAUCUGAGGAAUGAUGAAUUUGAAGACGUUCACAUUCCUCUGAACCAGGUUGAGACGACUCUCCCCCUCUUGCUGACGAACACCUGCAGUUACUACCACAAUCUUGGAGUUGGCUGUGACAGCAUAAUCUUUGUCUGCCACAAUCUUAUGAGUCUGAAGGAACAAGCUGCCAUGCUGUAGAUCCAUCAUUUCUCCUUUUAGCUUGUCUUCCAAAACAUCAACCAGAGCAAGCUCAUCACAAAGACCCUUGCCGAGGAUGCUGAUGGCACAAGCCAUCCCACCUGCCCCACACCAACCACGGUGAUCUUGUUGCUGGGAACCGUGCUGCCCGCGGCCACGGGGGUGAUCAGCUUCUCCUUCAGGGUCGCCAUAACGUCCGGAUCGGUGCGGUGAAAGGAGAACCGGGAACAGUGCCGUGACCGUGGCGGGGCUCGGGAAAUCUGCGCUCCGCAGCGGAAGGGGCGGGCUGGGAUGCGUGGAGGAGCCCCUCACCGCGCCC
rnacentral:lncRNA from 1 species